ensembl:lincRNA
GUGACGGCGACGGCCACAUCGAAGGGCUAUGCGUCAGCGCCAUAGCAUACGCCGGCGUUUGACGCAGAAGUAUAAAUCAGCCUUAAGUCAAGAACCAAAUGAAGCACCAGAGUACAGAUUAUGGAGGUAUCUGAAGUUGAACUAACUGGAAGCAGGGAACCAUACUAAUAAAGUUCCUUAAGCAGUUUCCUUGUAAAGAUGAACCCAGGGAAGGAUCGAAAGUGGAGAAGACCAGAUCAAGAAAGACUACAUCAAGAUCUGCGGUCAGUUCAAAGGAUGUUUUGCAUUGGACUGUUUUUUUUGGCUUUGACCCUUGCUUGCCCCUGACCUCACUCUUGGACUGCCCUGUUGGAUUUUCAGUUUAUUUAAUUUAAAAAAAAAAAUUUGGUUCUGGGUAGAUGCUAAUAAAUAUUUAAUUGUAAUUAUUUAAUGUAAAUCAAAGGCGGCAACACCAAGGCUCCAAAAAUACAAAUUUAUUAAAUUAAAAAGGCUGACACAGAGCGUGUAACGUUUCGAGCCGCCGGCUCUUCAUCAGACAAAUUCUUUUUCGUUGUAAUUUUUUAAAUAAUAUGUUUUUGUUAAAUAUUCGAUUUCUGUGUUUGUUCUGUCUACUCGUACUUGUUUAUCUUGUCUCUGUAAUUAUCAUUUGUUAAUUU